rnacentral:tRNA from 1 species
GGAGUGGUACCCAAGAGGCUAAAGGGGCUCCCCUGCUAAGGGAGUAGGCGCAGAGAUGCGUGCGAGGGUUCGAAUCCCUCCCACUCCGCCA